rnacentral:rRNA from 1 species
AUUGAACGCUGGCGGCAUGCCUUACACAUGCAAGUCGAACGGUAACAGGUCUUCGGAUGCUGACGAGUGGCGAACGGGUGAGUAAUACAUCGGAACGUGCCCAGACGUGGGGGAUAACGAGGCGAAAGCUUUGCUAAUACCGCAUACGAUCUAAGGAUGAAAGCAGGGGACCGCAAGGCCUUGCGCGUUUGGAGCGGCCGAUGGCGGAUUAGGUAGUUGGUGGGAUAAAAGCUUACCAAGCCGACGAUCUGUAGCUGGUCUGAGAGGACGAGCAGCCACACUGGGACUGAGCCACGGCCCAGACUCCUACGGGAGGCAGCAGUGGGGAAUUAUGGACAAUGGGCGAAAGCCUGAUCCAGCAAUGCCGCGUGCAGGAUGAAGGCCUUCGGGUUGUAAACUGCUUUUGUACGGAACGAAAAGGCUCUGGCUAAUACCUGGGGCACAUGACGGUACCGUAAGAAUAAGCACCGGCUAACUACGUG